CUUGGUCAUUUAGAGGAAGUAAAAGUCGUAACGAGGUUUCCAUAGGUGAACCUGCGGAAGGAUCAUUAUUGAUUUCAGAUUGUCACCUUUUGUGCUGGCUUCGGCAUGUGCACACUGGUGACUUUCAUCCAACCCCUCUUGUGAACCUUUGACCUUGUGCUAUGCCUUUGGCUGGCAGAAGGAUUUAUUUACACACGUAAAAUGAAAUGAAAGUAUCUUGUUGUGUGCCCACAAGCACAAAUGUACAACUUUCAACAACGGAUCUCUUGGCUCUCGCAUCGAUGAAGAACGCAGCGAAAUGCGAUAAGUAAUGUGAAUUGCAGAAUCCAGUGAAUCAUCGAAUCUUUGAACGCACCUUGCACCCUUUGGUAUUCCAAAGGGUAUGCUCAUUUGAGUGUCAUUGUUACUCUCACACUCUCCGAUCGAGAGCAGUGGACUUGGGUGUUGCUGCUUCACUGUGGCUCACCUCAAAUUGGUUAGUGCAACUCAUGAUUGGAGAUAUAGUACAGCAUGAUAAAUGUCGUUGCUGGUGCUUUCUGAUCAGGAGUUGUGCUUCAAACAGUCUGUGGACAACUUCUGACGACUUGACCUCAAAUUGAGCAGGACUACCCGCUGAACUUAAGCAUAUCAAUAAGCGGAGGAAG
rnacentral:rRNA from 1 species